UUUGUGAAUUCCCAAAUGCAUGGAAGGG
rnacentral:sRNA from 1 species